AUUUGAUGUUGCGGACAGCUAGCACACAAUUUCUUGAACCUUUCCCAAUAUUCAUAUAAGUUUUCCCCAUUGUAUUGCCAAAUCCCAUAAAUUUCUUUCAUAAAAAGU